UGAGAAAAAUAAUGUGUUUAUUUGAACAUUAAAGCAAGUAAACAUGUUCUUGUAGAAACCCCAAAUACUAGUACGAACCUGAAAAUGAGCAUA